UCUCUUCUUCAGCGAUUCUACAAUCCAAUUUCAGGUACUUUCUUAAAUCACCUCUUGAAGCUCUCUGAGAAAAAACGAAAAACACAAAAUAUCAGGAGAAAUACGACUAGAUGGAAGGAAUAUAGCGCACCUACAACUCAAAUGGUUGAGAAAGAACAUUGGCGUGGUAGCACAAGAACCCGUCCUGUUUGCCACCAGCAUAAAAGAAAACAUCAGACUUGGAAAGAUAGAUGCAACUGAUGAAGAAAUUGAAGCUGCUGCUACAGCAUCAAAUGCAAUCGGAUUUAUCAUGCAGCUGCCUGAACGUUUUGAGACUCAGGUAAGAGAGAAGCUAAAUACCUGUUGAUGUUCUGAAGAAUCGUCGGCGGGAAACUAGGUUGGAUAUAGUACUGCGCAGCUCUCUGGCGGUCAAAAGCAACGAAUUGCAUUAGCGAGGAUGAUCGUUAAGAAUCCUACCAUUUUGCUGCUCGACGAAGCAACAAGUGCACUGGAUAUCGAAUCGGAGCAUAAGGUGAAGGACGCUCUUGACGCUGUCAUGGUGAAUCGCACGGCGAUAACUGUUGCACACCGACUGUCCACGAUUCAGAACGCCAAGAAAAUUGCAGUUUUCUCAAAAGGCAAGGUGAUUGAGCUUGGAACUCACGAGCAGCUUCUUGAAAAGGAAGGAGCAUAUGCUACACUGGUGCGUCUACAAGAAAGGAACAAGGACAACCAUGAACAGUGAGUAAUCACGAAAGUUUGUGAUCUGAAAAUUCAGCUGCUUACUUGUGGUGACCAGGCCAGAGACGUAUUUUCAACCUUCGAGCUUGUCUCCCUACAGACCUUCUCUAGACCGCACAGGCAACUCCCCG
rnacentral:lncRNA from 1 species